UACGUAGGGGGCAAGCGUUGUCCGGAAUUAUUGGGCGUAAAGCGCGCGCAGGCGGUUUCUUAAGUCUGGUGUGAAAGCCCGCAGCUCAACUGCGGAGGGCCACUGGAAACUGGGAGACUUGAGUGUAGGAGAGGAGAGCGGAAUUCCACGUGUAGCGGUGAAAUGCGUAGAUAUGUGGAGGAACACCCGUGGCGAAAGCGGCUCUCUGGCCUAUAACUGACGCUGAGGCGCGAAAGCGUGGGGAGCAAACAGG
rnacentral:rRNA from 1 species